GUGAGAAGCAUGUUCCCUCUGGCCGGCAGCGGCUUGCCCUGACCGUUUACCUGUGAAAUUUGAGUGUUGGUGAACUUAGAAAUGUCAUCAUGUCUUUCUGGUUUAAUGUCAAAAACUACACUGAAUGCUAGAGCAAACCUUGUCAGACCAGUUUGCUUCCCACAAGGAAGGAGAGUAAAGCUUUCAUUCAAGGCUGCAGAAAACGAAAUGUAUUGGUACUACUGGGAAGAAAGCCUGGCUUCACCACAGCUUAGGUGGAGCACUAGGUAAAUGCCCUGUGCCUAUGUCCUUAUCUUCACAUGGAGUAUAUAAUGAUAAUGGACUGACUAAU